rnacentral:rRNA from 1 species
AAUGAACGCUGGCGGCGUGCCUAACACAUGCAAGUCGGAUGUGCCGCAAGGUGCAUGGCAGACGGGUGAGUAACGCGUGGGGAACCUACCUUUUCGUGGGGAAUAACGAUCCGAAAGGAUUGGUAAUACCGCAUGAGACCGAUGGCUGGGAUGCUGUCGGUGAAAGCCGGGGAUCGAAAGACCUGGCGCGAGAAGAGGGUCCUGCGUCUGAUUAGCUAGUUGGUGGGGUAAUGGCCUACCAAGGCGACGAUCAGUAGCCGGCCUGGGAGGGUGAUCGGCCACACUGGAACUGAGACACGGUCCAGACGCCUACGGGAGGCAGCAGUGGGGAAUUUUGCGCAAUGGGCGAAAGCCUGACGCAGCAACGCCGCGUGGGUGAUGAAGGUCUUCGGAUUGUAAAACCCUGUCGUCGGGGACGAAGGUGGGGGCGUUAAUAGCGCCUUUGCUUGACGGUACCCGGAGAGGAAGCCCCGGCUAACUCUGUGCCAGCAGCCGCGGUAACAC